AGGUGCCAUCACGACGUUCACGGAGGGCGAACUGGGGUCGUGACAUUCCUUAGAAUUAACUUAGGGGUAUUUGGGUCAUUUGUAGCCAAAUACCUACUCUAGUAUAAAUAGCCCUUAAGGCUUUUAUUUUAGGUAGACUUGAUAAUGAUAAACUUGAAGACAUGCAAGUCUCACAAUUUAUCCUUAUCUUUUAAUUAAUGCAUUUAUGUUUAUGUCUUUAAUUUCUUUAUUGCUUUCAAUAGUGUUAAAUUAAUCUUAGUUGGUGAGAAAUUAGUAGUGAAUACUUAAUUGCUUAAUUACUUUAUCCGGACUUUCAAGAGUUGCCAAUCUCUUGAGGGUUUCGUAGCUUAGUGUUAUAAUUGAUUGAGUUCAUAGAUGUAAUUAGGCUUCAUAUCCUAAUUGGUUCUUGUUCUUCCAAUCAAUUGUGGGUCUAGCUUUUAUGUUCAUAGCUUAGAGUUACAAUUGAUUGAGUUCAUAGAGGUAAUAGGUUUCUCAUUCUAAUUGGUUCUUGUUCUUCCAAUCAAUUGUAGGUGUAGCUCUUAUUUUUAAUUCCGCGUGUUUUGCUAUAUCCGUGUUUUCGAUACGAUUCCGUAUCAUCUUGGUAUCAGAGCCGAGGUUUUGGAUUGUUCUAUCAAUCCUUGGUCUUUGUUUUGAUUAUCAACAAAUCUGAAAAUCAAUAAUAAUAAUAAUAAGAAGAAGAAAAAUUACCAAAAAAGGAAUGUUUACUGUUCAUCCGAUUGGCUUGUGACUAAAAUAGAAAUCGUAUGCCUCGUUCAUCACUUAUUAGAGCCGAGGUUUUGAAUUGUUCUGUCAAUCCUUGGUCUUUGUUUUGUUUAUUAACAAAUCUGAAAAUCAAAAAAAAAAUAAUACUGUAAUAAUAAGAAAACUUACCAAAAAAGGAAUGUUUGCUGUUCAUCCGAUUGGUUUGUGACUAAAACACAAAAUCGUAUGCCUCGUUCAUCACUUUUUCAUUUAGAAACUUUGAUUUCCUUGUUCUCGUUGUCGAUUCUGGUUCUGAAAUUUGUGAUUUCUUCAUUUUAUGAGAUUGAAUUACUGAUUUGAGCUCGGAUUCGAAGAUUUGAACCCAGAAUUUACAAUCAGCUGAACCGAAAAAAGAAGAAUCUAGGGUUGGUUUUGAUUAUGAAAAAAAAUUGGAGGUUCAAAAUCAAUUGGGUGUUCGAGAUUUUUAGUUGGAAACACUGAAACGAAGUGAAAUCUGAAGAUUGAGCUCGAUUUGAACUGAUUUUCUAGGGUUUUGAGUUCGAAAAUUGUCGAACGAGUUUUUUUUAGGAAGAAGACCGACUGGGCAUUCAGUUUUGGUGGCUGUCCUUACAAAUUAGGUACUGGGGUUUGAUUAUAGUGCUGUUGUGAAGCUUGUACUGAGACUUGAGAUGGUUUUGAGCCGAUUUGAAAGUGAUUUGAUUGGAAAAUUUGGAGCUGAUUUUGUGGAGAAAAAGAACUGAAUUCUUUGAAUUUGCGGGUGAUAUCUUCAAAUCGAUUUCUGGGAGUGAUUCUUAUGCUUUUGGAAAUCGAAUUCAAAGUGUGAGUCCAUUUGAUGAACAUUUGAGCCAACUGAUAUUGAAGGUCGAAGUAGAAGAACACUAGUUUCAAUUGAAGAACUUCGCGGACUGAUUCGACUCAACUCGAGCAGCUGACAAAUCGUCGCGACGAAUCAGGUUUGAUUCUUUGUGAUUAGAACUGAGCUUCAUCUCUAAUUUCUGGGAAUUUGAGUUGAAUUAUCUGAAGUGAAACUGAAAAUUUCAUCUCUAUAAUUCUGGAAUUUUAUUAUUGUUGCGCGUUGGCUCAGUCUUGAGUUUGUUCGAAUCUGUGUGUGCGAUCCUUAGUCAAACUGAAUGGAGAAUUCAUUUGAAAGGACUGAGAUUAAUUCCUUGAGAUUGAACUGAAACUCUGUCUUUACAUUCUUCUGAUAAUUGUUUAUUGAGGUCGAUAUUUAGAGUGUUUGAGUUGAUUGUGGGAUUCAAUUCUGAUCCUUCUAGUAAAUCUAUCAUAGUUUCUGCUGAUAAGAACUGUGUUUGCUAGUGAAGCUUCAUUUGGUUUCUGAACUUCUGAGACCCGAAUUGAGACUGUGUGAUCGAGUUUAUUGCUCUUGUUGCUGGUAAUUACGACUGAGUUUUUGAUUCUCUAAGCUUGCAUUUUCUGAGUGUUGAGCUACAAUUUUCCUUGCUUCUGCUUGUGAGCUGAAUUUGCAGUUCAUAGUUCUUUGAGUGAAUUCGUGGGCGCAAAUCAAGGUUGCUAUCGAAUUGUGAACUGAUAAUCGUCUUCUUCCUAUUAAUGAAGUAGUGACUACCAAUUGAGAUUCUUAUUGAAUGUGAUUGAGCUGAAGUCUGUCGUAGUUGCUGCAAGUUUGAAAAUCCAUCUUUGUGUUACGAUUUGAGAUUGAUUACUUGAAUUGAGAACUGAAGAUUUCUUCUUGUUAGUUGCUGUUAGAAGAGUCCUAAUUUCAGAUUAUUUAGCUAUAGCGUGCUGUCCAGUUUCUGCAAUAAUUCUGCAGUGUUUUAGCUUGCCUUUUGAUAAAUUUUGAGUAGCAUUUUUAAGUGUUCUGCAAAACCGAGCCACAAAAUUUCUGCGCUGUUUGCUCCUCUGUUAUUUGCUAAAAAUCUGCAGAAUUUUGGACUGUUGAACCUCAUAAGUUGCACAGUUGAGCUGAAAACUUCUGCAACUUGUCUGCACUUCAGAGCUGCUGAAACUGCAAAAUAGGACUGCUGCACCUUCUUUUGCAUUGUUUGAGCUGAUUUGGGGACUUCACUUAGUCAAAUUGUUGAAGCAGUUGGCUGAGAAACAUCAGGGAGUUGAGAAUAAUCUGGAAGGGAUUCUGCAAAGUUCAAAGCUGAUUGUCUGCACAGUUUCCGCUUCUUUGUCUGAAAUUGCUGAACUUCUUUGCCUGGACUGGAACCCGAGUGCAUUGAGGACCUAUCAGUGUUUGCAUAGCUGAGGCUACAAUAGUUUGUGAAGACUGGAAACUAAGUUGGAUUGAAUUAGUUUGCGAGCAUGAACUGAAAGUACCGCACUAACAAUUGAGGCUUGGAUCGCAAGGUUGAAUCUUUUACCGAAUGGUGAAGAACACUGCUCAGAAGAACCCCAACAGCCUGCAGUUUUGCCAGCAUUUGUGAAUUUGUCCAGAGUUAUAGAUUUGGCCAUUCUUUGCAAAUCUGACCAGUUUUACAAAAAAAAUAGCCAAUUUUGCGAAUAUGACCAAAAUUUUGAAAAGUGUCUAGUUUUGUGUUCCUUUUCUUUUCUUUUCCACUUUGUAUUAAACUCAACUCUAAGCUAGAUUAACUUGAUAUUAGUUCAUAUUGAGUUUAUUUCUAGUUUCUUUGUGUGCUUUGUCUAUUUCGUGCCAUUUCUUUCGUGCUUUUCUCUUUAUUUUCGUUGUGAACUGUUUGGCUCAAGUCCGUUUGCUUUUUAAUAGUCCGUCCUUGUGAAUACACAACUUUCACGCCACCCCGAAGACGGUUGUAACUUGUUGUGAAACCUUGGGACUUAGGUUUGCAUGCGAUUUUGACAUUGACUACUUGAGCUGAAAAAGGCAAGAGUGAAUAAGACUUUGAUCGCGCAAAAGCCAAUUGGUGCAAUGUGUGAUACACGAGGGUUGAGCGACAUCAAGUGAGUUGGUGAGGACUUUUACUACUAACCUAUUUUCUCGUUUUGUAGGUAUCAUGGAGUACGGACAAACUUCUAGUCUUAAUUGUGAACCAAGGAGUGAGACUCCGAUGCAUGAAGUUGUUUCUAUGCUUUAUGACAUAAGUGAGAAGGUUACCAAUAUUACCAUAUGGUAACACCAAACGGAUGCAAGGUUGAAUUCCUUGAUAGCUGAAUCUCACUUGAGGCAUCAAGGAAGAGAGAGUAGUAUGAUGCUUACUAAUUUCUCUACUACACCCCCUUCUUCACAAGUGCGACAAAUGCUUCAAAGGAAAAUUUUGCAACACAACCAACCUAACCAAAAGGACAUUAUUUUCCUCCACCAAAUUACCGACCACCUGCCCACUACCAACCUCCAAUCACACAUCAACCACUACAUGUACCUCAACUACAACCUUAUCAAACCCCAGCCCUACUGGUGCCACAACCACAACUCUACCAAGUUGUUUUCCACCACCCCUAGUGUACUACCCACAAGCACACCAACCACCAUUUAGACCUCAAGUUCCACUAUGGAGGGACAAUCUCCCUCCCCCACCACUCAUACCACUUCAAGAGCCUCGGUUGAUGAACAAUCCACUUUUUCAAUAUUAUCAAGAGGACACCUUGAAUGAGUUGGACAACAUCCAACAAGUUUUCAAUUACGAAUAUAGGAGCGAUGAAGUGAACCAAAGGGGAAGAGGCCAAAUGAGUUUGAGUACAUCCUUGAAAAAUUCAAAAAAAAAAGGACUUUUGAAGACGAACCAUCAAUUGAAGUUCAAUGCACUUUGAAGAGCUUGGAAGAAGAUCGAACUACCUUUUCAAGAGGACUUAUGAGAAUUCAAUGAGAAAGUGCAAGGUAAAGAGAAUACUUUAGAUGAGCUUCAAGGUAAAAUAGCUUAUCCUUCUACUCUUGCUAGUUUGGUUGAUUGUGGUGACACUUUGAGUUUGAAAGACAACUAUGACAUUGAUGAGUUUGAUGCCUCUUUAUCUUGCAGUGAGAAUAAUAGUUAUGGCUUGCAACUAGCUAGGAAUUCUUUUGCAUUACUGGAUGAUUCCAGUUCUUUGAUAAAUUACUCCUUAGCUAGUGAUGUGUGUGAUGUUGAAUCUUAUGAUACCCCACCUUGUGUUGAUGAUUCUUUUGAUUCUA